AAUUCUCAACUCCUUCAGCUUUUUGUAGUUGAAGUGAGCUUGGAUAUGGAGGUUUUGCGGGUUCAAUCUAAUUGGAUCGGCUCCUCUGAAAUGCAUUAGCGGAACCGUUUGCGAUCCGUCACAGGUGUGAUAAUUAUCUACGCCUAGUGGGUUGCUCUCUGUCUUGUUCAGCUGCCAACCGUCCCAGUCAUGGGACAACAUCAUUACUGAAC
rnacentral:misc_RNA from 1 species